rnacentral:piRNA from 1 species
AGCAAGAGCAGGAAAUGGUACAAGCC